AGCGGAACCAUUGGAGCUUGCUCCUUUGGUUUAGCGGCGGACGGGUGAGUAACACGUGGGCAACCUGCCCUGCAGAUCGGGAUAACUCCGGGAAACCGGUGCUAAUACCGAAUAGUUUGCGGCCUCUCAUGAGGCUGUACGGAAAGACGGUUUCGGCUGUCACUGCAGGAUGGGCCCGCGGCGCAUUAGCUAGUUGGUGAGGUAACGGCUCACCAAGGCCACGAUGCGUAGCCGACCUGAGAGGGUGAUCGGCCACACUGGGACUGAGACACGGCCCAGACUCCUACGGGAGGCAGCAGUAGGGAAUCUUCCGCAAUGGACGAAAGUCUGACGGAGCAACGCCGCGUGAGUGAAGAAGGUUUUCGGAUCGUAAAACUCUGUUGUGAGGGAAGAACAAGUACCAAUUAACUACUGGUACCUUGAUGGUACCUCACCAGAAAGCCACGGCUAACUACGUGCCAGCAGCCGCGGUAAUACGUAGGUGGCAAGCGUUGUCCGGAAUUAUUGGGCGUAAAGCGCGCGCAGGCGGUCCUUUAAGUCUGAUGUGAAAGCCCACGGCUCAACCGUGGAGGGUCAUUGGAAACUGGGGGACUUGAGUGCAGAAGAGGAAAGUGGAAUUCCACGUGUAGCGGUGAAAUGCGUAGAGAUGUGGAGGAACACCAGUGGCGAAGGCGACUUUCUGGUCUGUAACUGACGCUGAGGCGCGAAAGCGUGGGGAGCAACAGGAU
rnacentral:rRNA from 1 species